GGAAUACAGGAAGCAGCAUGAGACAGCAAACAUUUAAUGGAAGAUGUUAAUGGAGUCUCGAUUUGGGAAAGAAACUUUAUUCCCUCUGAGUUUGUGAGGCCAAUGAGUUGUGUCUUCUGAGUCCACACAGGCGAUGUCUUCCUUCCUCUUAGCAGCAUGUCCAAAAGGUGGGGUUGCGGGGGCAGCAGCCUAAGCAGAGAUUUCCAGACUUCCGACAUGUUCCAGUUCUUCCCGGGGGAUCCCGAGGCGUUCCCAGCCGGGAGACAUAGUCUUGCCAUCGUGUCCUGGGUCUUCCCUGUGGCCUCCUACCGAUUGGAUGUGUCCUAAACACCUACCCAGGUAGGGGUCCGGUCCGGGGGGGGGCACCCAGACCAGAACCAUCUCAUCUGGCUCCUCUCCAUGUGGAGGAGCAGCGGCUUUACUUUGAUCUCCCCCCAGAUGACAGAGCUUCGCACCCUACCAACCUUCUCACCAGUACGCUUGUACCCGUGAUCUUGUCCUUUCGGUCCUAACCCAAAGCUCGUGACCAUGGUGAGAGUAGGACCGUAGAUUGAGAGCUCCUUCUUCACCACGACGGAUCGCGCAUUACUGAAGACGCCGUACCGAUCCACCAGUCAACCUCAUCGUCCACUCGUGAACAAGACUCUGAGGUACUUGAACUCCUCCACUUGGGGAAAAGAUCUCUUCCCCAACCCGGAGACGGCCGGGGCUCCACCCUUUUCCAGGCGGGAACCAUGGACUCGGACUUGGAGCUGCUGAUUUUCAUCACAGUCGCCUCACACCUGGCUGUGAACCGAUCCAAUGAGAGCUGAAAACCCUGGUCAAAUCAAGAAAACAGGACCACAUCAUCUGGAGCAGAGACCUAAUCCUAGAGCCACCAAACCGGAUCCUCUCAACGCCUUGACUGCGCCUAGAAAUUCUAGGGCAGCCUUGGCUUGAGUCCAACCCUCACUGGAAACGGGUCCGACUUACUGCCGGCAAUGCAGACCAAGCUCCGACUCUGAUCGUACCGAGAACAGACCACCACAAUCAGGCGGUCCCGAAGGACACGGUCAAAGGUCUUCGCCAAGUCCACAAAGCACAUGUAGACUGGUUGGACAAACUCCCAUGCAUCCUCAAGGACUCUGUUGAGAGUAUAGACCUGGUCCACAGUUCCAAGACCAGGACAAAGACCACAGUGCUCCUCUUGAAUCUGAGGUUGGACUAUCCUGUCCAGUACACCUGAACAGACCUUACCGGGAAGGCUGAGGAGUAAAAAUUUUCGGGUGUAUAGAACUCAGUCCGAUUCCGAUUCCUAGGUUAAAGAUUCCAUUCCGAAUCGAUUCCGGAUUCAAGCUGAUUCUGGAUUCACACCAAUUCUUGGAACAGUAAUUAUAAUACAACUUUUUCUAAACAGGUUACAAGUUAAAAAAGUUAUUUCUAAUUUUAUUAGACGUCUUUUGAAAAGUUAUUUUUAAAAAAAAUUCUUACUGAAAAAAAAUUGUAUUAAAAAAAAUUAAAUAAUAAUAAAAAUCCAUCUAUCUUU